GUCUGCAGAGGAAAUGAAUUUCUGCUCCCGGGAGGGAGGGAGUGACGGCGAGAUGCGGCUGAUGUUCAAAGGAUGGAAACGCCCAGAUCCCUAGGCUCACCAGCUGCAAGGGGGCUGCUUAUUUCUACGAAAAAUGACCUGAUGGAACUGGGGUGUGCCGGAGAGCUCUAACACGGAAGAGAAGGCACAGUGAUGUCUGAGGUCUUCCAGGGUGGAGACCUCUGGUUUGAUGGAGCGAAUGAACAGGACAGUCUGGGGCAAGCACGGGAAGUUGCAGCGGACAGACAUUAGAGUUGCACACGGAUACAACAAAAUGUUUUCGCUGCAGAGCACGUCUGCUCUCAAUGGGAAGAAAUGAGGGCAGUAAUAAAAUUACACGCGCCUAGGAUGUAUGCUGAACACA